ACGAUGAAUCCACCACAGUACUUUUUUGGCUGCUGGCAGCUGGUCAACCGUUGGCUUUUUCUCACAUUAGUGUAAGCUUUUAGAGAGGAUGACGGGUGGGACUCGUUGGCUGUGGGGUCAUGCUACUGAUGUGAGUUUUCUCCAGUUUUUGGUACACGAGGUGUGCAUCGCGUCCUUGCCAAUCGUGGCCUGGGUAAAAGGAACCCUAGAGCCCUCCGCAGGCGCCUCCCUCCUCUCGCGCUUCCUCCCCAUGACCCCACCUCGCCUCGCGCCGCCGCCCAUCUCCGCCUCCUCUCUCACGUCCUCCCUACCACCAUGGCCUAGCCCACCCUCGUCAGCGACCUCCCCAAGCCCCCUCUCUCUCGGGGGUGCUUCUGGUCGCAAUCUGGAAGAAGAAAAGGAGACCCCAGAAGAAGUUAGAGUGUCCUGGUGGUGGCUAGAUCGAUGCAGCUGACGGCGAGUGCCGGUGAGCGACGGGGAUGCCCCUACCUCUCCGCACCUUCUCCCAGGUUCCCGAUCUGGAACGGGUCGGACGGACGCCGGCGAGGCCAGCCUCCCCUUCACAUGCAGUUGGACCAUACUUGGUACAUGAGCCUUGUCGUGAGUAGUGGUGCAAUAGUGACCUCGACGAGGAGGGAAAUGUCCAGAAUCCAGACAUGAGUAAGGCACCAAAGAUGACUGGAAGCACUCAAAAAAGUUUACCACACUGGAGCUAUGUCAGGUACCUACUGACCUCGACGAGCAGGGAAAUGUCCAGACUCCAGACAUGAGUAAGGCACCAAAGAUGACUGGAAGCACUCAAAAAGUUUACCACGUUGGAGCUAUGUCAGGUUGUACAAGGGCAG